AUUGAACGCUGGCGGCAGGCCUAACACAUGCAAGUCGAGCGGAUGAAGGGAGCUUGCUCCUGGAUUCAGCGGCGGACGGGUGAGUAAUGCCUAGGAAUCUGCCUGGUAGUGGGGGAUAACGUCCGGAAACGGGCGCUAAUACCGCAUACGUCCUGAGGGAGAAAGUGAGGGAUCUUCGGACCUCACGCUAUCAGAUGAGCCUAGGUCGGAUUAGCUAGUUGGUGGGGUAAAGGCCUACCAAGGCGACGAUCCGUAACUGGUCUGAGAGGAUGAUCAGUCACACUGGAACUGAGACACGGUCCAGACUCCUACGGGAGGCAGCAGUGGGGAAUAUUGGACAAUGGGCGAAAGCCUGAUCCAGCCAUGCCGCGUGUGCGAAGAAGGUCUUCGGAUUGUAAAGCACUUUAAGUUGGGAGGAAGGGAAGUAAGUUAAUACCUUGCUGUUUUGACGUUACCAACAGAAUAAGCACCGGCUAACUUCGUG
rnacentral:rRNA from 1 species